ensembl:snRNA U6 U6 spliceosomal RNA
GUGUUUCUUUCAGCAGCACGUAUGCUAAAAUUGGAACGAUACAGAGAAGACUAGCAUGGCCCCUGUGCAAGGCUGUAUGCAAAUUUGUGAAGCUUUCCAUAUUUUU